UACGUAGGGUCCGAGCGUUGUCCGGAAUUACUGGGCGUAAAGAGCUCGUAGGUGGUUUGUCGCGUUGUUCGUGAAAACUCACAGCUCAACUGUGGGCGUGCGGGCGAUACGGGCAGACUUGAGUACUGCAGGGGAGACUGGAAUUCCUGGUGUAGCGGUGGAAUGCGCAGAUAUCAGGAGGUACACCGGUGGCGAAGGCGGGUCUCUGGGCAGUAACUGACGCUGAGGAGCGAAAGCGUGGGGAGCGAACAGG
rnacentral:rRNA from 1 species